rnacentral:tRNA from 1 species
UGGGGUAUCGCCAAGCGGUAAGGCACCGGUUUUUGAUACCGGCAUUUCCUGGUUCGAAUCCAGGUACCCCAGCCA